CCGACUGCCAAAUUUGCGCCCCUCCUGGGACUGUUUGAGAGAAGGACAAACUUUUGAACGGAUUAAAAAUCAAGAGGAGUCCGUCUGGGGCAGGGGUCCUCUUUCCCUUGGAUGGAGAGGCUGCUCCUCCCUUGGCUCUUGGCUAUCUCUCCGAGGAACACACCCCUUGAUUAGCCAGGCCCGCAGCCACCCCCAUCUGCUCUGCUGAGAAGGGAGGCCACUCAUUCCAGGCCUUGGUGGAAGGGAUACAGAGUGCCCAACGCAGCUUCCUUGCCUCAACUGGCCCCUCAGGGAAGGUGGGAACCUCCUUCACUUCGCAGGAUCCGGAAUCUCGGCCGGCAGAGCGGACAGCCGCGCUCUGGAGCCUUACGCCGGAAGAAGUUUCUGCCAUUGCGCUCUCCUUGCUGUCUCAGCCUCUGCCCAUGUCUGCGUGCUGUUGUGUUCUCCCUCACUGAGGGAAAUAAAAUGUCCCUCCCCACUCCCCUAGUCAUUCCCUGUACCCUACCCCCACCAAACCUUCUAGCUGCUGACGGUAAUGAACUCCAGCUUCCAGCCUUGCUCAUAAGCUACUCACAGUGAAUUCAAAUUCUCUUCUGGGCAGGAGGGAGGACAGAUGCUCCUUCCUCAGUCCUCCCUUGCUCAGUGAUCCAUUUUGAAGGCCUUUUGGGGUCAAAGUCAGACCAGGUUGCUUCCAUUGGUAUAAAAUUAGCAUCUUAAAAAAAUCACACCCAGAUUUCUAGCAUCCCAGAAUAGAAGUCUUGGAGCACCUGGCUGGCUCAUUCAGUGGAGCAUGUGAGUCUUGAUCUCAGGGUCGUGAGUUCAAGCCCACAUUGGGCAUAGAAAUUACUUAAUUAAAAAAAAAAAAAAAAGGAAUAGAAGGUCUUUACCCAGACCCACACCUCUUCUCUGGCCUUUCAAACCCGUUGAUGAUAUAAAGGCUUGUGGAGGUGGAGGAACAGAAGGGAAAUGAGCAAUUUCCUCCAUCUAAAAGUCAGUCGUUUCAGCUGGUCAUUCUACUGUAUUUAUUUAGUACUUACUAUGUGUAAAGCAUCACCCCUACCUCAGUUUGUCAUGACUGUCGAAAGCAAUUGUUGCCCCUAUAAGGCUUCAGUGUGUGUGGACAGAUCUACAAAUAAACAAAUCAAUGGAAAAGAAA